UCAUCAAGCACAUGAUCACCUCCAAUCCCUAAAAAAAACCAUAAAUAGUCCACUCCUUGGUAGUAUUCGAAGUGGGCAUAAUUAAGCAAGAUGUAUCAAGAAAAGAAGUGUCAUAUGGUAACCUAAUUCAAAAAUCAGGAAGAAGAUGAUAAUUGAACCCAAGUAGUUGAAGUAUGUAUAUGUACAAAUGAGAAAGAAACACUUAAUUUCAGGGCUCUUGUUUAAAGAA
rnacentral:misc_RNA from 1 species